rnacentral:tRNA from 14 species
GCACCCUUAGCUCAGCUGGAUAGAGCGCUGCCCUCCGAAGGCAGAGGCCAGAGGUUCGAAUCCUCUAGGGUGCGCCA